GUGAACGCUGGCGGCAGGCCUAACACAUGCAAGUCGCACGGCAGCACAAGAGAGCUUGCUCUCUGGGUGGCGAGUGGCGGACGGGUGAGGAAUGCAUCGGAAUCUGCCCAUUUGUGGGGGAUAACCUCGGGAAACCGGGACUAAUACCGCAUACGACCUACGGGUGAAAGCAGGGGAUCUUCGGACCUUGCGCAGAUGGAUGAGCCGAUGCCGGAUUAGCUAGUUGGAGGGGUAAAGGCCCACCAAGGCGACGAUCCGUAGCUGGUCUGAGAGGAUGAUCAGCCACACUGGGACUGAGACACGGCCCAGACUCCUACGGGAGGCAGCAGUGGGGAAUAUUGGACAAUGGGCGCAAGCCUGAUCCAGCCAUGCCGCGUGUGUGAAGAAGGCCUUCGGGUUGUAAAGCACUUUUGUUGGGAAAGAAAAGCAGCCGGUUAAUACCCGGUUGUCAUGACGGUACCCAAAGAAUAAGCACCGGCUAACUUCGUG
rnacentral:rRNA from 1 species